rnacentral:rRNA from 1 species
CCUACGGUGAGCUGCAGUGGGGAAUAUUGCGCAAUGGGCGAAAGCCUGACGCAGCGACGCCGCGUGAGGGAUGAAGGUCUUCGGAUCGUAAACCUCCGUCAGCAGGGAAGUACGGUCACUGUGCUAAUCAGCAGUGAAUUGACGGUACCUGCAAAGGAAGCACCGGCUAACUCCGUGCCAGCAGCCGCGGUAAUACGGAGGGUGCGAGCGUUAAUUGGAAUUACUGGGCGUAAAGCGCUCGUCGGCGGUAUGUCAAGUCAAGGGUGAAAUCCCCGCGCUCAACGUGGGAACUGCAUUUGAAACUGGCAAACUGGAGUGUGUGAGAGGAUAGUGGAAUUCCAGGUGUAGGAGUGAAAUCCGUAGAUAUCUGGAGGAACAUCAGUGGCGAAGGCGACUAUCUGGCACAUAACUGACGCUGAGGAGCGAAAGCGUGGGUAGCAAACAGGAUUAGAUACCCCUGUAGUC